GAAUAAGUAAAAUUACAUAGAAAAUAUAUGAAAAUAGGUAUAAAACAUAUAAAAGCACCCACUAUAACAAAAAGUUUGUUGGGUGAAUUGGCAUUUGGGUUGAUCGGAAGCCUUGAGUUCGAACCUCAUUGAGGUGAUUUUUUAUUUUUUUCAGUUUUAAAAUUUUUUAAGCACCAACUAUCUUUAAAUCCUGGGUCCGCUACUGAUACUAGAUACAUGACAGAUAGAUUGAAGAUAGUAGUGCACUCUCAAAAUCAAUCUGUAUUAAUGCACCAAUACAAGAGAUACAUCAUGCAUUUUUUGUAUUGAAUGCACUAGAAGUUUUGAUAAUAUAGAUAAUGGAUGGAAGUG
rnacentral:lncRNA from 1 species